rnacentral:rRNA from 1 species
CACGUAGGGUGCGAGCGUUGUCCGGAAUUAUUGGGCGUAAAGAGCUCGUUAGGCGGUGUGUCGCGUCGGCCCGUGAAAACCUGCAGCUUAACUGUGGGCUUGCGGUCGAUACGGGCAUCACUGGAGUUCGGCAGGGGAGACUGGAAUUCCUGGUGUAGCGGUGAAAAUGCGCAGAUAUCAGGAGGAACACCGGUGGCGAAGGCGGGCC